rnacentral:lncRNA from 1 species
CUGGUGGGUUUAGUAGUGGAGGAAUGGAGCUGGAGCCGGGUCUUUGUCAAGUCUAUCGGGAAAGUGGCUAUCUCGGCCACCAUGGCUGACAGUGAGGUGAGGAGGAUUUUUGUGUGGGUUUUUGGUUGCUGGUGGCCAUGGCUUCCGUUCAUGGGAGACGGAGAGCACACGAAUGGAUGGAUUUUGCCGAGAAGGAGAAGGUGUCCAAUGUUUGGGCAGAUGUAGCAAAACCGGUCGCCUAGGACUUCAUUUUUUUUUUCUUUUUUCUUUUUUCUUUUUUCUUUUUUCUUUAAUGGGGGGGCAUUUUUCAUUUCUAAGAGUAAAUUAUAAAUUACUUCCUCUAAUUUUGCAAAACAAAUUUAAUAAUAUUUUUAAUCUUAAAAACUGUUUAAUUAAUUCCUUUAUCUAUUUCAUGUUUUUUUCAAUUUAUUUUGUUUUUUGUUUUAAAAAUAAAAUAAAUAAAUAAUAUGAAAAGAUAGAUGAAAAAAGAAAACAUUUCUUAAAAUAAAUUAACUCUUAAAACUAAAGGAAGUGUUUAAUUCAUUUUUACAAUACUAAAAGGAAUGAUUUAUAAAUUACUCUCUCACUCUCUCUAUCUUUAAGUUGUUUACUUGACAUUUUAUUUUUUGUUAUCCAGAUAUUUUAAAUUAUGAGUAUACAGAAAUUGGACCUGAUGUUUUUUGUUUAUUAUCCUGGUCAGGACCAGAAACCAUAGGGGAAUGGUGCUGGGGCCAAUAACAAGGACGAGGAGCACACAACUAGACGCCUAUUUCAUUCAAAUGAAGACACGCAAGGCAACACACCACUUGUAGAUGGGGAAGC